GGAUAUGGUUGACGAUUGUUGUU
rnacentral:siRNA from 1 species